rnacentral:rRNA from 1 species
AUUCACAUCCACCACCCUGAACGCGCCCUAUCUCGUCUGAUCUCAGAAGCCAAGCAGGGUCAGGCCUGGUUAGUACUUGGAUGGGAGACCACCUGGGAAUACUGGGUGCUCUAAGAG